GCUCCGGACCCGCGCAAUGGAAAUCCAUGAACCGUGUCAGGUCGGAGACGAAGCAGCACUAAGUGGAACCUUCCAUGUGACGCGGGUUUCCGGGGUCAA
rnacentral:SRP_RNA from 1 species